rnacentral:lncRNA from 1 species
GGGCCAGCCUUGAGCUGCUGAGAAACUUCAUCCACCAAACUACUCGAAGUCAAACCUGCAGCCAUGCCUUUACUUUUACAAGAUUCAGUAAUUAUGUUCUUAGGAGCUCGUACUCGUUCAAGGGACUCACAAUUGGCCAUCAUCUCAGGUUCAAGCCCGGCAAGACGUUUCGAAGACCGACGAGGCAAACUAAGCUCUUGCUUGUUCUUUGAUUGCAUUGAGUUUAUACGAGUUUUUCUGCUGCUUCUCUUUUCCCCAUCGGUCGUCUGCAUGCUCGUCUCCUGCAGGAUAUCAGCUGCAGGAUUUAAAACAGGCCCACUAACAGGAUUAGAAUUCACCGGUAGUUCACCAAUCAGAGCCUUGAAUGCAGGUCCCAGGCAUGGAUCUAAAUAAGAAUUCCCAAAGAAUAAGGAUACACGUUGUUCAGACAUGUCACCACUGGUUUCAGCAGAUUUCAACUUUUGCAAUUGCUCUCCAGGAGUGGUCUGGCUUCUUGAAGAUUUGACCUUGUUUAAUGGCUCUCCACUUGAUAGAAUGGUUACGUCAGACGACACAUUUGCAAGUUCUGGUACUGAGCCAGCCUUGAGAUGCUGAGAUACUUUAUUCACCAAGCCCGUAGAAGUCAAAACUGCAGAUGAAAUGACCAUAUUUUUACAUGAUUCUGUAGUUACCUUUUUGGGAGCUUGUUCAAUGGACAUGCAGUUGGACACCAGCUCAGGUUCAAGCCCAACAAGACGUUUUGAAGACCGAAGAGGGAAGUUAAGCUUUUUCCUUUUUGCAGAUUUGGUCAUAUCAUUCAGAGUUUUUCCAUUGCUGCACUCAAUGUGACUAUCAAGUAAUCUUUGUUCUUGAAGACUAUCAAUAAC